UGAAAUCAACUUGUGGAUGCAGGUUGAUGCUGAGUGACCAGAUGCAGUUUUUCAUUAAAUAAUCACAGGUCACCUCUUCCUGAUAGUGGAGGUGUGAGCUGUUGCCAGUUGCUGUCUCUUCAUAAUAUAUCUGGGUUGAUGGAUGAACUCAUUAAUUUGGAUGAUCCUGCUGAUAAUAUGCAGCAGGAGUGAUGUAUAUUAGGAGAGUGAAAUAGAUCCAGAUGGGAAAAGACAUACUACAGAUAUUACGUUUCAGACAUCUCUCAAUGCAAUUCUAGCUAUGUAUCCACUAUGAACACUACAGAAGAAUAGUGCAGCCACUGGAAGGUUUUUAUUCAUAAGUUUAGAGCUACAAAUUGCAGAGUAUUGUGGAGUUGGAUGAUUGUCACAAUUGCUUAUUAAGGUUUGGAGAGAUUGUGCUUGAACGCAAGUGAUAAAAGCAAAGCAGAGAAAUCAAUGUUGGAAGCUUCUUGUACACAAC